rnacentral:tRNA from 1 species
CCCCAGGUCGUAUAACGGUAUUACCUUCGGCUGUAGACCGAAAGAAGAGAGUUCGACUCUCUCCCUGGGGA